AUCGCUUCUCGGCCUUUUGGCUAAGAUCAAGUGUAAAUAAUAGCUUACAAUUUUUCCAAAUAGUAUACCAAUCCUC
rnacentral:sRNA from 1 species